GACGAACGCUGGCGGCGUGCUUAACACAUGCAAGUCGAACGGUAAGGCCCUUCGGGGUACACGAGUGGCGAACGGGUGAGUAACACGUGGGUGAUCUGCCCUGCACUUCGGGAUAAGCCUGGGAAACUGGGUCUAAUACCGGAUAGGACCACUGCCUGCAUGGGUGGUGGUGGAAAGCUUUUGCGGUGUGGGAUGGGCCCGCGGCCUAUCAGCUUGUUGGUGGGGUGAUGGCCUACCAAGGCGACGACGGGUAGCCGGCCGGAGAGGGUGACCGGCCACACUGGGACUGAGGUACGGCCCAGACUCCUGCGGGAGGCAGCAGUGGGGAAUAUUGCACAAUGGGCGCAAGCCUGAUGCAGCGACGCCGCGUGAGGGAUGACGGCCUUCGGGUUGUAAACCUCUUUCAGCACCGACGAAGCGCAAGUGACGGUAGGUGCAGAAGAAGGACCGGCCAACUACGUGCCAGCAGCCGCGGUAA
rnacentral:rRNA from 1 species